AUUGAACGCUGGCGGAAUGCUUUACACAUGCAAGUCGAGCGGCAGCGCGGCCUUCGGGCUGGCGGCGAGCGGCGAACGGGUGAGUAAUGCAUCGGAACAUGCCCAGUCGUGGGGGAUAACACUUCGAAAGAAGUGCUAAUACCGCAUACGUCCUGAGGGGGAAAGCGGGGGAUCGCAAGACCUCGCGCGAUUGGAGUGGCCGAUGUCAGAUUAGCUAGUUGGUGGGGUAAAGGCCUACCAAGGCGACGAUCUGUAGCUGGUCUGAGAGGAUGAUCAGCCACACUGGGACUGAGACACGGCCCAGACUCCUACGGGAGGCAGCAGUGGGGAAUUUUGGACAAAGGGGGCAACCCUGAUCCAGCCAUUCCGCGUGAGUGAAGAAGGCCUUCGGGUUGUAAAGCUCUUUCGGCCGGAACGAAACGGUGGGCUCUAACAUAGUCCGCUAAUGACGGUACCUGAAGAAGAAGCACCGGCUAACUACGUG
rnacentral:rRNA from 1 species